UACGAAGGGGGCUAGCGUUGUUCGGAAUCACUGGGCGUAAAGGGUGCGUAGGCGGAUUUUUAAGUCAGGGGUGAAAUCCCGAGGCUCAACCUCGGAACUGCCUUUGAUACUGGGGAUCUUGAGUCCGGAAGAGGUGAGUGGAACUGCGAGUGUAGAGGUGAAAUUCGUAGAUAUUCGCAAGAACACCAGUGGCGAAGGCGGCUCACUGGUCCGGAACUGACGCUGAGGCACGACAGCGUGGGGAGCAAACAGG
rnacentral:rRNA from 1 species